AUGCUGCUCAUCAUCGACGGCAAGAAGCUCCGCAAGAAGAAGACGACUCGGUCCCGCAUGCUCUGUGGGUGCAUUGUGGUCGCCCUGGUCGGCCUCGUCGGCGCAUACAUCGCCGGCAGCUGCAGGGAGAUCGAUACCACCGCCUACGUGGCCAGCUUGGUCGGCGCCGUUCUGGCAAUAGCACACAUCAUCCUACUCUAUGGUAUCUACACUUCAACGCAACAGACUGAAGAAAUUCAGCAGACUGAUGAUAAUGUCAGUACAAUACAGUGCAGUGGCAAGGAGGUUCUGGACAAGGCUCGCUCUCUUGUUCUACUGCUUGCCACUCUUGCCGCCGCCAUCACCUACACAGCGGGGUUGAAGCCACCGGGAGGGCUUUGGCAGGACAACACCAAGGGGAACAUGGCCGGUGACCCCAUCCUUCUCACAACCAAUGCUAGCCGAUACAAGGCCUUCUUCUACUGCAACUCGGUUGCCUUUGUGGCCUCCUUGGUGGCCAUUGUCCUAGUCCAGAUGGAAAUUCUGGUCAAGCAUCACGUGCUGGAGGCAGCCAUGAUACUCGACCUGUUUGGCCUCAUCGGUGCAUAUGCCGCCGGGAGCUGCCGGGACGCGAACAACUCCAUUUACGUCAUGGCUUUGGCAGGCCUCGUCCUGGUCUAUGUGGUGAUCCAUGUUAUCUUCUUCACGCUGGACCACGAGGACAAACACCAUGGCGACCAGGCAAAUCAGUUGCUGGAGAAGAGGCGCAAACGGCUGCUCCUCUUCGCGAUCUUGGCUGCGACCAUUACCUACCAAGCCGGCCUCACCCCUCCUGGUGGCUUCCUGCUCCAGGAUGACAAGCUCGGGCACCAGGCUGGCGACCCGGUCCUCUUGUACAACUUCCCACGUCGCUACAAGGCAUUCUUCUACUGCAACUCGGUGAGCUUCAUGCUUUCCAUCUCCCUCAUCCUCCUCCUGGUGAACCCCAAUCUAUACAGGCCAGCCAUACGAAGCAAUGCGCUAUCUGUUUGUACGGCGGUGGGCUUGUUUUGUUUGAUGGUGGCCUACGCCGCUGGAAGCACCCAACACCUCAAGACAUCCAUCUACAUCUUUGUGUUGGUCGGUGCGGUCCUCUUCGUUGCAGCUGGACUGCUGCUAGUAUUUGCGCUGAGGGAGCAAAACAAUAGUGACAAUUCAGCAGUUGCCGCGCCAUCCAUAUCCCAUGAACAGGAGGAGGAAGAAGAAGAAAGAAACAAGGAGGAAGAAAGGAAGAAGCACGCGAGGCGCAAGUACCUGAUGCUGCUAGGAAUCUUGGUGGCAAGCGUUGCCUACCAGGCCGGCCUGGAACCGCCCGGCGGAGCAUGGCAGAGCAGUGGCAAUGGAUAUGAGGCGGGCGAUCCGGUGAUGCAUGAUAUCAGGAGGCCUCGGUACCUCGUCUUCUUCUACAGCAACUCCUUUUCCUUCGUGGCUUCCAUUGUUGUCAUCAUGAUGUUACUGCCGCACUGGCUGCCAAACGAGAAGAAAGAAGAAUGGGAGAAAUGGUCGUUGAGGGUGAUGAACUGGACGAUCCUGCUGGAUUUGGUCACUCUCCUAGUGGCAUAUGCAGCCGGCUCCAGCAGGGGGUGGAAGACGUCUGUGUAUGUCGGCACGCUCAUACUUGCCGUUCUGGGCUACUUUGCAAUCCAUAUGACGCUGUCAAUAUGGUCUGAUCGCUGCCAUCGCCAUCGUCUUCGCCGUGAGAGGCUUGAGGGCAGCCAAGAAAAUCGUCGAGUGUGA
rnacentral:rRNA from 1 species